AUCCAGCUGAUCAGUCCCAAAUAGAACGAAACACGUGUCAAAUUUGAU
rnacentral:hammerhead_ribozyme from 1 species